rnacentral:lncRNA from 1 species
UGGCACCAUAAAUUGGUUUUGCUUCACAUUGUCUUGAUCAAGAGUGUGUGAAGCUUUCUACGAGUUGUAGUGUUUGCAUUGUUACAAAGGGGAAAUGUUUGAAGCAGAUGCAAGAAAGCUAAAUAGCUUAAUCUUCGUAUGCCAUGCACUGAAGUUGCUGUUGGCUUGCAAUAAGACUUUGUUGGUGACUAUAACUCUUGUUUGG